rnacentral:rRNA from 1 species
AUUGAACGCUGGCGGCAGGCCUAACACAUGCAAGUCGAACGGUAACAGGAAACAGCUUGCUGUUUCGCUGACGAGUGGCGGACGGGUGAGUAAUGUCUGGGAAACUGCCUGAUGGAGGGGGAUAACUACUGGAAACGGUAGCUAAUACCGCAUAACGUCGCAAGACCAAAGAGGGGGACCUUCGGGCCUCUUGCCAUCGGAUGUGCCCAGAUGGGAUUAGCUAGUAGGUGGGGUAACGGCUCACCUAGGCGACGAUCCCUAGCUGGUCUGAGAGGAUGACCAGCCACACUGGAACUGAGACACGGUCCAGACUCCUACGGGAGGCAGCAGUGGGGAAUAUUGCACAAUGGGCGCAAGCCUGAUGCAGCCAUGCCGCGUGUAUGAAGAAGGCCUUCGGGUUGUAAAGUACUUUCAGCGGGGAGGAAGGGUGUAAAGUUAAUACCUUUACUCAUUGACGUUACCCGCAGAAGAAGCACCGGCUAACUCCGUG